GGACGAGGACGACCUCGCCCGCUCAUGGGAUGCGACAUCCGGGACGGCCCGG
rnacentral:ncRNA from 1 species